rnacentral:rRNA from 1 species
UACGUAGGGGGCUAGCGUUGUCCGGAAUCAUUGGGCGUAAAGCGCGCGUAGGCGGCCCAGUAAGUCCGUUGUAAAAGUCAAAGGCUCAACCUUUGAAAGCCGAUGGAUACUGCUGGGCUAGAGUCCGGAAGAGGCGAGUGGAAUUCCUGGUGUAGCGGUGGAAAUGCGCAGAUAUCAGGAGGAACACCAUAGUGCAAAGGGC